CAUGGGGUGAUUCUGCCCCAAAUCUAAGUGCCCUACCCGUCCAUGGUGCGAUCCUGUAGCAAGUCGCAAGGGGAAAAAGAAAUCGAGGCUGCUGCCCCAAAUCUGAGUGCCCUGCCUGUCCAUGGGGAGAUGUUGUACCAAUCACAAGUGGAGUACUGUACCAGAUUGAUUUGCUUGCCCAUCCGUGGCCAAAGCUUGGAGGAGGUGACGUUGGUGGCCAUUUUUUGCCCAGGCCGGGACAUGCGCUGCGGAUCAGGCGUUGCCCACCAGCGAGGCGGCAUCUCACUGUUGCUUAUGUUGAAAGUCCAUUUGCGAUGGGCCAUCUUCUGUGUGUCUGUCGCCUUAGGCUGCGGACGUGCUGACAGAGGAUAUUGCCUUCACGAAGGGCCACUUUGAGUCGCUUGGUGACAUAAUGAUUUUAGGAGCAUCACCGGCAAACCUACCUUCAGCUUUAGCUCGUGGUUUGGAAUUCCUAGGAUGGUCAUGUUGUUAAGAAGCUCUGUUGGACACAUAUUCUCCAUUGUGUUGUACUUCAUUGUUGCCUUGCAUACAGUGUCCAAGCUUAGGUAUGUCACCUCUUCCCCUUGUAUUUGGCUCAUUAUGUAGUCAUUUAUCUUCUCAACUGUUUCAUUCCUUGGACAUAGUAUUGCUCUUUCUUUGAGAAAUUCACGGUCACGGUAGUUUUGUUGCAAGUUUGGGUACGUGCUUUUGACUAUCUCUUCUUUGGGGUCUUCUCCUUUAUGUAGAAUUAUGUCUUUAGGUAUUUUUACCCAAUCAUCCCCUUCAUCGUUUGUUCUUUUUCCGUCGCCAAUUUGUAAUAUCCAUUCUGCAAAUUCAGCCACAUUUUGCUUUUGUAUUGGAUCUUCUGACACGCACUUCAACCGCAUAUUUUCAGUUAGGCUAAAAAUUUCGAAGUGCUUCCAUAGGUAUGACCUUUUGAUUGAGGCAUUUACUAUCUGUCCUCUCCUUCCCUUUGUUAUGUCUAGAAGUAUUUGUCUGAAGUCGCCUCCUAGCACCACGGUCAUGCCACUGAAUGGCCUUUCAUUACUGUUUUGGUUUGUGAACCUUAGAAUAUCCCUAAGGCUUUUGUCUAGUGCCUCAAAGCAGUGUUUGUUUGCCAUCGGAGCCUCGUCCCACAAUAUCAGUGAGGUCUUCUUUACCAGUUCAGCCAAAUGUGAGCCUUGUUUUAUUUCACAUGUUGAUUCUUCCGUGAUAUUUAUUGGGAUGUGGAAUCUUGAGUGCGCUGUUCUUCCACCUUGGAGCAGCAAAGCUGCAAUGCCAGAUGAUGCUACCGCAAGCACUAUCUUUCCCUCUGAUCGUAGUUUCGUUGUAAUUGCUUUCCAUAGAUAAGUUUUGCCUGUGCCACCAUAGCCUUCUACAAAUAUCUGUUUUCCUUGUCCUCUCUCAGCUGACUCUAUUAUUGCAUCAAAAGGCCAUUUUCUGGUCAUGGUUAAGAUUGCUUAUUAUGGUUUGGUGCUCACUCUUUAGUGCUUCCAUGCCGUAGCUAAGUUCUUCAUUUAUCAUUCUGUUCCCAAGUUGUUCAAGUUCUGUAGCAUUUGGCAGUUCUAUGUCUGGAUAGUCCUUUAGUGUCUUUCCUGCUUGCCUCGUUAGUUUCUCUAUCUCGAUCAAAGCAUAUGCUUUUUUUUGUGAAUCAGUGAGCUGCAGCGUAGGAAAGUUUAGGAUAAUUCUUCUUUUCUACUGGAUAUCUUCAGAUAGUGCCUCCCAUGUUGAUCCCACAACAUCUUUGGGCUGGUAACCUCACAAUGGCAUAAAAUUGUGCUGAAUAGCUAUCGUAAUUGUGUCCUGGAUCCCCAUGUUGAUGCUUCAUUGAUGCAUUCAAUCCACUCACUAUCAUCAUCAAGAAAACCAAGCGCCUGGCAUGUUGAUCUGUAUGUUGGGUGAACAACUUCAUUAACUGUUCUAAUAUCCUAAAAUGAUGUGCAUCCUUUCUUUGUGUUUAGAAGCAUUCUCAUAUAAUACCGCUCUCCACUUGCAGGGUGUGCAUAGUAGAUUCUACCAAUGGCAAAGCCUCUUUUCCGCUCCUCCCAAGUUUUGGUGUCGCUUUUCCAUACAAAUUUUGAUGGGAAUUCUGCAUAGGUUAAUUCUUUUCCCACCUCAUGUAUUUUGUUUGCCUCCAUCCACUCAGUGAACUUAGUACUUGCGGUUCCUGGCUUUCUUACUAUCUUCUCGAUGUUAGUUGAGUCUGGAAAAAUAACUUGUUGUUCAUUUCCAAUGUGGAAUGGCAGUCUCUCUACUGGUGGAUCACGAUGUUGUAGAUCAAACUGGAAUAUCCGUCAGCAUGCUUCAGUUGUUGAUAUGUAUCUCAUCUCUAGGUAUUUCUUGAUUUCAUCAUAGUCGUUUGCCGCGUCUCUUUCCUUUAGUAAGGUUGUUACUUGGUCGUCGUCUUUAUGGAUGUACUUAAAUAGGUACUUGAUUGACCUGGACCUGUUGCACCACUCGACAUUUAUGUGAGCUUGGAAUUUGACCAAAAGGUUUCAGUUGUAUGGCACGACAAAUCUGUUGUCGAGCAUUGCUCCUCCCUUUUUGAUCGUCCUUCCAUUGUCGCGCCUUCUAUAUACUGGAAAGCCAUCCUCAUCGAUUGUGGUAUCGACAUUAUAUCGUUUUGGGAAGUGUUUAGUGCAUCUAUUGUCCAUCAUGCAUGGUGAUUUUGUAUUUGCCUCUCCGCAAGGCCCGUGCAUCAUGAAGUUUUCAACAGCUGCAUAUCCGUCAGGAUCGACAUCUUUGACUGGGAUCUCCGCACUGAUUAUUUGAUUGAUUUCUGAUGGUCCUUUGCACUUGUAAUUCUCCUUGAGGAAUACCAAUAUGUGCGCAUGUGGGAGUCCCCUCUUCUGGAACUCUAUUGUGUAGAUAACUGCAUUGAUUAAAAGUUUGAUUUUGUUAGAUUUCUAAAGCAUUUUAGUAAAUAGACAAAGGCUAUGGUUUGCUAAAUUUUUUAAACUUUAGGUUCUAUUAGUUAGCGAUGAGAAGUCGGCUGAUCUUACUUGAUAUAGUUUCUCCAAAGUGUUUCUUCACAAUGAUGUCUCUCAUUAGCUCCUUCAGUUUUAUCAUGAAUACUCGGUCAACAAUAUCUGGCCGGUCGGCUGGAUUUAGGCCCCCUCCUGCUUCAUCUAGCAUGUAUUGGAUCUCGGGCCACUUCGCGUUGCAUGUGAAUGUUAUAAAUAGGUCUGGAUAUCCAGCCCAACGGCAUAUUGCAAAAGCGUCUUGCAAGUUCUGUGCCUUGUUUCUUCUGCCUCCUGUAUAAGAUGAAGGUACAAUUAUUCUCUUUCGAACCUGCUCUGUUUUGGUGUCCCCUUGCUCAAUCGCAUCCUGCAGUCCACUGUAAAGUUCAGUCCGUAGCUUCCCUUGAUUAUUCCUGAUCCAAUUUAGUCUGUUUUGCUCAAUGCAUGUGUAAACAUCUACCCAAAAUUGCAGAGAUAGAUGUCUAGACGUUAGCAGCGACAUUCCUUGGUCGGGUCUUUGCUGUAGGUAGUAUGCGUAGUAGUCCAGCAUAGUUACAUAUUUCUUGCUUUUGUCACCUUCUUUUGUUCGCUUGUAAGGUAUUUCAAGCUUGAAGCCGUCUUCUCCGUAUGGAAACAACAAUGGGUAUUGCAUCAACAUUAAUUUUGGAUGGAUUUCCGAUAUUCUGUGAGGCUCCAUAUUUUUGUACUCGACAACGAUAUCUCGUCCUUCACUCUCUCCAGUUGGGUCUCUUACAACCAAUGCUGCAACUUCCGAUGCAGAUGGAAGGUUGUGUGUUCCGUUCCUUUUCCCAAGUAUUCUAAGUGUGUAAUCAUGGUAGUCUUCUUCUUUGAAUCUAUCUCUUGCCAUUCUGAAAGAUUUUGCGAGGAUGUUGUUCUCAUCAAGCAUUUUUUGUAGUUCUUUGACAAUGGCAGGGUCCACCGUUGAUUUAUUAUCAUUGCAUCUUGAAGCAUCUAUCCUGUUUUGCACCUCAUUUUCUGUCUGAUAGAUGUAUAGCUGGGCAAAUCGAGGUUUGUUACCUUCUUCAGGUAGAAGAGUUCCAAUAUGGUGAUAGUUCUGGCCAUGCAGUCUAAAAACAUAUGGUCCUUUGCCUUUGUUUAUUUCUUUGUCAACAGCUCCUCCCAUUGAUGUGAAUGAGAACAUUGAGUUGUAUGACCCGAUAUUUUCUUUGAAGUUUGUUGCAUCACUUCCUUCACCUGUUAAUAAUCCUGCGAAGUAAGGUGGAGGGUGUGCCAUCUUUGGUAGGUCAAUCUUACCUUGUUUGGAGCAAAUUCUGAAAGAAAGUUUUUUGGUUCCUCUAUGAGAAUUUAAUCUUUCUUCACACCAUAGUAUUGCAUUGCAAUGUUCACAUCUAUAUGUUGGCUUUCCAAAGUUCCAUAUUUUGCUAUAAUAACUCUCGGACGUAGUGCUGCUGUUUGUUUCUUUGAUGUUGCUUCCAAGGUCAUUGUCGCUCCCACUUGUUCUUGCACGCUUCACAUUUGUUCUUUCUUUGAUUUGUUCCUUUCUCUUCCGUGAAGCAUCUUCUUCUUUUUUAUUGGUUGUUUCCUGUGUAUUCCUGCAUCUCUUACUCCUUUUUUCUUGGAGUUGUUGUUUCCUCCUGAUAAUAGCUUCUCCAGCUUCUUUUGUAAGUUGGCCUGUGGAUUUUGACGUGUACUGUCCCUUCAUUUCUGCAUUGAAUAUUCUUUUAGCAAUAUAGUACCAUAUAUUUGAAAGCUACUUUAUGCACAAUGUUGUCAAGAUAGUAACAAUAUAUGCACUAAAUAGGAGAUGCCGGCUGCAUGUAGAAACAACCUAUAAUACUUAUCGAUCAUGCUUUCAGGAUUAUUCUGUUGUGUGGUUCGAGCUGCAGAGGAUGGCAUUAUUUCUGUGACUGUGUGCUUCUCAGCGAACGACAGUUGCUCCUUGGGAAUUACUACGGCAAAGUACUCUUUAAAAUCAUUUUAACACUAUACAUAAAAUUAUUAGGUUCUGCAAUUUUUUCUAAGGGCUAUCUUUCAAAUAUAUAUGUUAGAGAAGUACCAAUAGUGUGCAUUACAUGAAGAUAGAAAAAGGUCAAUGAUAUACCUGAUUGUGUUUUCUUGUAUUUUUUAAAAAAUUUGUAAAGCUUCACAUGUCUGCUAAUUAUUUGCCGUAAUUGUAUCUUUGCUUCAAAGCAAAUCCUGUAGCGAUCCUGGAAAAUAUUUUGUACCAUGUACAAAUGGUUAGAGCAUAUCUUUGUAUUGCUGCCAUGACUUUAUCAUUCUUUGUGUCAGUUUUAGUUCAUAACAGAAGCUGGUACUGUUUUCGCAAAGAAAAUAGAGUUUAUGUCUAGAUCAAAGGCAAGACGUGCAAGAAUAGUUUUUUUAGUUAGUAUUAUAAUUAUAUGCCUAAAUGUAAAACAAUGUAAUAAUGAAUAAAAAAAUCAUGAGGUCGCUUUGAACUGCUGAUAGUAGUAGUUUUCCACGGAGGGCAUUUACCUUCUAAUCUGAAGUCUGGCAAGCCUGAUUCGUGUGCAAGUUCUUCCAGCGAUUAAAUCUAGGUCGAUUCUGAUUAAUCUUGUCGACUUUGUUUUUGACGGGUCGAUGAUCCAAAGGUCUAGAUGAUAUGAUCCCUUGGUUAAUCGAAGUGUAAGUUCUGGCUACUUAAGGGCAGUACGCUAACACGUCCUCGUAUCAGCCUAUUUGAUAAGGAGUCGGUACCGAGUUGGUAACGAUCACGGUAUAGAGAGAUAAAUUCCAAACCCAAGUUUACAUACCCCAUAUAUGAAGCCUAUUCAGGCCCAACAGUUUUAUUGAAGGCCCAUGUUAGUCAUUUAGAAAAUGACCAGCCCGUAUAAACCAACCCGUACAGGUCAUCGUGUACGUGGAACUCUCCUCUUUUAUAAAGGACAGACCCAGUGCAUAGAAGCUCCCACACAAGGUGGGGUCUGGGGAGGGAUUAUAGGAACCUAGUCUUACCCCUGCAAAGUGCAAUGCAGAGAGGCUGGUUCGAACCCAGGACCUCCUGGCACAAGUGGGGAGGACUUCACCACUGCGCCAGGCCUGCCCUCGAACUCUCCUCUUUUAUAAAAGAAAAAAUCUCUCAGCUCAGUCGAUCCCCACCAGCAACCUUAUCCAUCCGCCUGCACCACCUCUCCAUUAUCUGGCUGAUGAAGAUCUCGUCGCUUGCCAUCAGCGGACUAAUUCCCAAACCAUCACGACUGCACUUCUCCAUUCAUUUCUUCCAACUUCUCUUCGUCUGGCGCAGUUUGCCGUUGUGCGGAGUGCGCGAACGCGUUCAUCGCGUUCUCAAGGAUCUAGAUCCUAGAUGACCUCAUGGAGUUCGGCGGAGCGUUCUCAAGGGUUUUGACCAAGAUGACAUGGCCGACGGCUAGAAAACCAUGGCAGAGGUGUUGUAGUUUGGCCCAGUGGAGGAGGCUAUGAGGGAACUCACCGAGUCACCUGCUGGUGGUGAAUGAUUGGAUCUGAGUACCGUGAGAUGAUGUCCUCCUCAUUGUUCUUGCUGUCAGACUACUUUAAAUGUUUGUUGUGCAAAAGCUAACUUGUUGAAUUUUCUCAAGUAACGUCUGGUAACCACAUCAAGUAACGGAGAAACAUAUUCCAGUUGCCAGCAAGACGCCAUUGACUUGCUUAUAACUGGUAUUUUACUCAUAUUACAAAGACUAAUGACAUAUUUAUUGAAAUUCCGAUGCAUUACCUGGUCUGGCUGGUUUUCGUGCCUCAUUGUAGCCAGAAGUGCUUUGGGGUCACUUCUUCCACGUGGAUUGUAGCAGCUGGGCGUAACUUUGUCGGGCAUCGACUGUGCUCUGGCGUGACUUUGUUGGAAGUCAAAAGAAGCGGCUGGAGGUGGCUUUUGGUGUGGAUGUCUGAGUUGCGUGUGCCUUGUUCAAGUCGUCGUGGUUGCCGACUUCUACUUGUUUGUUGGGUGCUUGUGUGGCCAGGUGCACUUGUUUAUAUAAUAGGUUCAGGUGUCUGGGUUGGGGUGUCCGAGACCGUGUGGAGACCAUAUUGUGAAUUUGUCUUAUUUGCAUGUAAUCAUUUCUGUUUUGGAACUUGUUUUGGAACUUUCCUCACGUGGUCUGGUGGUUGUCCUUAUUUGUUUAGAUUCCUUAUUUGUCUAGAUUUGACUAUUGUUUGUUGUUAUCCUUGACCCAUUGAUGUGAAGGUUUUUUU